UACGUAGGGGGCAAGCGUUAUCCGGAUUUACUGGGUGUAAAGGGAGCGUAGACGGCAUAGCAAGUCUGAAGUGAAAGCCCGUGGCUCAACCGCGGAACUGCUUUGGAAACUGUUAAGCUGGAGUACUGGAGAGGCAAGCGGAAUUCCUAGUGUAGCGGUGAAAUGCGUAGAUAUUAGGAGGAACACCAGUGGCGAAGGCGGCUUGCUGGACAGAGACUGACGUUGAGGCUCGAAAGCGUGGGGAGCGAACAGG
rnacentral:rRNA from 1 species